AUUGAACGCUGGCGGCAGGCCUAACACAUGCAAGUCGAGCGGAGCGGCGGACGGGUAAGUAAUGCCUAGGAAUCUGCCUGGUAGUGGGGGAUAAAGUCCGGAAACGGGCGCUAAUACCGCAUACUAUCAGAUGAGCCUCGGUCGGAUUAGCUAGGUGGUGGGGUAAAGGCCUACCAAGGAGACGAUCCGUAUCGUGUCUGAGCGGAUGAUAGGGCACACUGGAACUGAGACACGGUCCAGACUCCUACGGGAGGCAGCAGUAGGGAAUAUUGGGCAAUGGGCGAAAGCCUGAUCCAGCCAUGCCGCGUGUGUGAAGAAGGUCUUCGGAUUGUAAAGCACUUUAAGUUGAGAGGCGUUACCAACAGAAUAAGCACCGGCUAACUUCGUGCCAGCCGCCGCGGUAAUUC
rnacentral:rRNA from 1 species